GAUGAACGCUGGCGGCGUGCUUAACACAUGCAAGUCGAACGGCUCAUAUUGAAACCUAGUGAUGUAUGAGUUAGUGGCGGACGGGUGAGUAACGCGUGGAGAACCUGCCGUAUACUGGGGGAUAACACUUAGAAAUAGGUGCUAAUACCGCAUAAGCGCACAGCUUCGCAUGAAGCAGUGUGAAAAACUCCGGUGGUAUACGAUGGAUCCGCGUCUGAUUAGCUGGUUGGCGGGGUAACAGCCCACCAAGGCGACGAUCAGUAGCCGGCCUGAGAGGGUGAACGGCCACAUUGGGACUGAGACACGGCCCAAACUCCUACGGGAGGCAGCAGUCGGGAAUAUUGCGCAAUGGAGGAAACUCUGACGCAGUGACGCCGCGUAUAGGACGAAGGUCUUCGGAUUGUAAACUAUUGUCGUUAGGGAAGAGAAAGGACAGUACCUAAGGAGGAAGCUCCGGCUAACUACGUGCCAGCAGCCGCGGUAAUACGUAGGGAGCGAGCGUUGUCCGGAAUUACUGGGUGUAAAGGGAGCGUAGGCGGGACGGCAAGUCAGAUGUGAAAACUGAGGGCUCAACCUUCAGACUGCAUUUGAAACUGCUGUUCUUGAGUGAAGUAGAGGUAAGCGGAAUUCCUAGUGUAGCGGUGAAAUGCGUAGAUAUUAGGAGGAACAUCGGUGGCGAAGGCGGCUUACUGGGCUUUUACUGACGCUGAGGCUCGAAAGCGUGGGGAGCAAACAGGAUUAGAUACCCUGGUAGUCCACGCUGUAAACGAUGAUUACUAGGUGUGGGGGGGACUGACCCCUUCCGUGCCGCAGUUAACACAAUAAGUAAUCCACCUGGGGAGUACGACCGCAAGGUUGAAACUCAAAGGAAUUGACGGGGACCCGCACAAGCGGUGGAGCAUGUGGUUUAAUUCGAAGCAACGCGAAGAACCUUACCUGGCCUUGACAUCCCUUUGGAUGCGCGGUAACGCGCGCAGCCCUUCGGGGCGGAGGAGACAGGUGGUGCAUGGUUGUCGUCAGCUCGUGUCGUGAGAUGUUGGGUUAAGUCCCGCAACGAGCGCAACCCUUACCCUUAGUAGCCAGCAGGAGAGCUGGGCACUCUAGGGGGACUGCCGGGGAUAACCCGGAGGAAGGCGGGGAUGACGUCAAAUCAUCAUGCCCCUUAUGGCCAGGGCUACACACGUGCUACAAUGGCGUAAACAAAGGGAGGCGAACCGGCGACGGCAAGCAAACCCCAGAAAUAACGUCCCAGUUCGGAUUGUAGUCUGCAACCCGACUACAUGAAGCUGGAAUCGCUAGUAAUCGCAGAUCAGAACGCUGCGGUGAAUACGUUCCCGGGUCUUGUACACACCGCCCGUCACACCAUGGGAGCCGGGAAUGCCCGAAGUCGGCAGCCUAACCACGAGGAGGGAGCCGCCGAAGGCAGGCCUGGUGACUGGGGUG
rnacentral:rRNA from 1 species